GGGGGACAUAAAGGGAAACCCACACACCCAAGGAGGAGGGCUCUGGCCAUGCAAGGCUGAAGGCCCAGUGUACUGAUAUGAAAACUGAAGCUCAGACAGAAGAGGCGACGUUGCUUUCUUAACCACUGGAUUUGCAGUGCUGUGGUUCUCAGAAGAGGCCAGGACAGGUUAAUCCACUCACUUGGGAGGCAGGUGCAGCCGGUGCAGAGCUGAGAAUUUACCCCAGGCUACCAGCCUUCCGGCUGAGAGAGCAAGCUGACGCACGGUUCCUCAGCUGUCCCAUGGAGCCUGUUGCGGCCAUCCACCUCCUUCAAAGGGUUGAAUGUACAGCUGGUAUAAAAAUGGUGCUUUGUCGUCAUGAAGAAGGUGUAUUCUGGGAUCAAACCACCUGGCUGGAGAUGCUUACUAACCUCAGUUUCUUCAUCUGACCUUACCUUUCUAAAAGAAUAAGAAGAAGAUGAUACAUAUUCCUCUAAAGUCCCAACAGGAACCUUUUCCCCUCACUCCCUCCCCAGAGAUGUGUAUCAUUUCCAUGAGUGUCUGUACUUUUACAACAUGUGCAUAUUAAUAAACAAAAUAUGACAAAUUAUUUUGUCUUAAUAUUUGCAUAAAUCUAGCCAUACUCUACACCACUUUUGCAACUUUCACUAUUAUAUAUUUUGAAGAUUAUCCGUGUUUAUGCACAUAAGUUUAUCAUUUUAACUGUUGAAUAGUGUUUCAUUAUAUGAAUUAACCAUAAUUCAUCUAUUUCCCUGAGUGACAAUUAGGUUUCUUUUUGUUUUUAUGCUCUGAUGAACAAUCUUGCAAUUAUUAUCUUUGUAUAUGUCUUCAUGUAUAAGAAAUUCUCCAGGGUAGACACUUAGAAGUAAAGGGUCUGACUCAGAGAGUCUGUGUAUUUUAAAAUGUAUUGGUUAUUGUCAAAUUGUUCCUCAAAGUAGAUGUACCAAUUUACAUUCCUACAGUGGUAUAUAACAGUUUUUUUUUCUCCACAUCCUCUUCAACACUCGUCAUUACCAG
rnacentral:lncRNA from 1 species